rnacentral:lncRNA from 10 species
UUAUUCUCAAUAUACAUUUUAUUACCCAAUCUGCUCCCGACAUUAAAUAAAACUCCAAAAAUUUGAAUCUAGCCCUCAAACCCCACAACAGGACUUAAUUAACCUCACCUUCAAGGUGUACAAUAACAGAAAAAAGUUGCAAUUCCUUGCCUCCACUGUGAGACAAACCCCAGCCACAUCUCCAGCACACAAGAACUUCCAAAUGCCUGAACUGCAGCAGCCAGGUGUUUCUCCAGAACCUCCUCCCCCAGGAGCUUGCUACACGUGCCAGAAAUAUGGCCACUGGGCCAAGGAAUGCCGCAGCCCGGGAUUCCUCCUAAGCCGCGUCCCAUCUUUGUGGGACCCCACUGAAAAUCGGACUGUUCAACUCACCUGGCAGCCACUCCCAGAGCCCCUGGAACUCUGGCCCAAGGCUCUCUGACUGACUCCCUCCCAGAUCUUCUCGGCUUAGCAGCUGAAGACUGACACUGCCCGAUCACCUUGGAAGCCCCCUAGACCAUCAUGGAUGCCGAGCUUCAGGUAACUCUCACAGUGGAAGGUAGUUCUUCAAUCAAGACUACAUUGAACAAGGAUGGUGAUGCAGCUUAUACAGCAGAAAACACUGUUGGUGCUGAAAUAGUUCGUACAAGAGAAUGACUAUGGAUCACUUAAUUAAGGCCAGGUCCAUGGUUAGCAACAUGAUGAAGGAUGCCAGCUUCCCCUGAAGAUCAACCCAUCAUCGAAGUUGAAAACUUUGAGAUCACAAGACACCAAUAGACGUUCCAGUACAUCUUUGUGGAUUCCAAGACAUCCUCACAGAGUUUGAAUCACAGAGUUGAUCUCAGCUGCUCCAAGUUCUCCUGUCCAGGUCAACUAUCCUGAACUAGCCCUGUUUUCUAUCAAGGUGACCACUAUCCAAACCUCCAGGGAGUUGGGAUCUUGCAAAAUUAUGCUGUGUCUCCAUCUUUUGCUCAGUAUUAUAUUUGUGAUAUCCACCUAUGUUGUGCAUGGAGUUCAUUCUCAUUGCUGAAUAGUAUUCAAUUAUAUAAGUAUACCACAGUUUAUUUAUUCACUUUACAGUUGCUAAACUUUUGCUUGUUAUCAAUUUAGGAAUUGUAAUACAGAAAUGGUAAAGAGCUCACUUUGGAACUAACUGUAAUUCUCAUAAGUCAUUCCAAAUAUUUUGAGUGUGUACUCUUCUAUUUUUGGAAACUGUUUAUAGCCCC